GUGCUCACUUCGGCAGCAUAUAUACUAAAAGUCGAACAAUACAGAGAAGAUUAGAAUGUCCCUGCACAAGGAUGUCACACAAAUUCAUCAAGCAUUGCAUAUUUCU
rnacentral:snRNA from 1 species